CUGGCUGCUGAAACCUGAGGGUGGCUCCCCUGAGGGUCUGGUCUAGACGGGAAAAGUGCAAAGGACAGCAGAAAGCUAGCAGGAGUCCACCUUCCAGAGUGAGAGGUGCAGCCAGCUGACCCUCCUGUCUCCCGGCAUUUCUCCAUCCCACUCUUCUGGUUCCUCUGAGUGACUCUUUCCUUUCCCAAGUGGCCUGUCAAUCAAGAUGACCUUGUACCCAUUCCAUCACCCACUCUAGGAAAACACGUGAGCUAGAGUAAUAUAGCCAACAAUUACUCCAGGCCACUGUGGUGCCUUCAGGGAAGGCACACAACUCAAGCAAGAACCAACAGCAUCUUACUGGAGCCACUAGUAGAGGUUGGGAGAGAGAAUGUCUCUCUUCCUGGAGAUUACAAAAUAGGAAAUAUUUAUAAACAAAGUUCUGGGGGUCAUCUUGCCCCCAGUAAUCAGCAGAGAGGGUAAUCAACAGAGCCAAGAGAUGAGGAGGGGCCAGGUCCAUGAUAACACAAUCUGAGUCCCUGGAUCCGGUCAUACAGGGAGAAAGAACCACGCCUAAACUUCCCCAAUACUGAAUCAUUAAGUCCCCUUUCCUCUGGACUAGUUUCUCUCUGCCUGAGGGUCUUGGCUGACACACAGCUAAACCCUGCCCUGCGGUCACGCACGGCCGACGGUUUUUAUUCAGAUGAAUUCAGCCAACAGUAACAGACAUCCGCUUUCUGACUGGCACUGGGGACAUGCUGUUUGCCUUGGAGGAACUCACAGUUUCAUGGAGGAGACAGACAUGUCAGCAAAUAUGUUUUUCUAUGGCUUCACAGUAAAACUCCCAGAACUGGUUCCUGUCUCUGCAACAAGAUUCCUUUGGAGUCAAAGAGAACACACAAAACCCAAUUCAUGCGGGACACAUCCUGAAGUUCUUAAACAGGUAGGGACCUGAAGAUGCUUUCUGUGUUGUGGGAAUAACAGUGACUGAUCUCUACCCAAGAGACUCCUGGAAUUUUGUCUUGGGACAGGCCUUUUUGACAGAUGGUGUGGAGAUAUCCAGCUUUGCCAGGUAAGGGAGUAGUUUUUUAUCUCACUCUGAAGGCAGAGUGAAGAAGCUGCAGAAAAUAUCUUCAAAGGGACUAUUUGGUUUUUGAUAACGAUUACACUCCUGAAGUGACCUUUUGCUGCUUCAUUCCUGUAAGACUUUAACCCCUGAGAUUGGACACAUAUUUGGACUUUGACUCUGCCAGUGGCUUGCAUGCCUGUUGCAAAGCUCCAGCCACUUGGGGGAUGCUGACCAGCACCCCCUCAACUUUGCCCUGUGUAUGCAAGAGGCAGAGUGCUAUUGGCUUCAGCAUUACAGAAAGAUACAAAGUGGAUUGAUGAUGUAUCUGCUGACACACCUGGAAUUACUCUGAAACAUAGUUAUGACAAUAAUGUGAAUUUGCUAACCCAUGGAAAUCUAUUUUUUUUUUUCCUUUUUUUAGGGCUGCAUCAGCUGCAUAGCGGCAUAUGGAGGUUCCCAGGCUAGGGGUUGAAUUGAAGCUGCAGCUGCUGGCUUAUGCCAAAGUCACAGCAACACCAGAUCCAAGCCUGUCUUUGACCUAUACUGAAGCUCACAGCAACACCAGAUCCUUAACCCACUGAGGCGGGGGCGGGGGGGGGCGAGGUAUCAAACCUUCAUCCUCAUGACUAAUAGCCAGGUGCUUUACUGCUGAGCCACAACCAGAAUUCCCACCCAUGGAAAUCUUUUAAAGAAUAGAAAGAGUGUUCUUAUGAUAACCUGUAAUGGAAAAGAAUCUGAAAAAGAAUGUAUAUAUACACACACACAUGCAAAUAUAUGUAUAUAUACAUAUACACACACAUAUAUAUAUAUACCUACAUAUAUCUAUAGGAGUUUCCUGGUGGCUUAGCAGGUUAAGGAUCCACCAUUGUUACUGCUGUGGCUCAGGUCACUGCUGUGGUGCAGGUUCGAUCCUUGACUGAAGAAUUUCUGCAUGUCAUGGAUGCAGCCAAAGAAAACAAAUAUAUAUAAUAUAAACCAAUCACUUUUCUGUACACCUGAAACUAACACAACAUUGUAAAUCAACUACACUUUAAUUAAAAAAAGAAGGGAAAAAAAAUAAUGGAAGAAGUGAAUAAUAAAAUACCUUGCUGUUCUCCA
rnacentral:lncRNA from 1 species